rnacentral:rRNA from 1 species
GACGAACGCUGGCGGCGUGCUUAACACAUGCAAGUCGAACGGAAAGGCCUGCUUUCCCUUGUGGAUUGCGGGUACUCGAGUGGCGAACGGGUGAGUAACACGUGAGUGAUCUGCCCCCAACUUGGGUAUAAGCCUGGGAAACUGGGUCUAAUUCCCGAUAGGACUGCAGGGUGGUGCCUGUGGUGGAAAACGAUUUUCUAGUGGUUGGGGAUGAGCUCGCGGCCUAUCAGCUUGUUGGUGGGGUAAUGGCCUACCAAGGCGGCGACGGGGAGCCGGCCUGAGAGGGUGGACGGCCACAUUGGGACUGAGAUACGGCCCAGACUCCGACGGGAGGCAGCAGUGGGGAAUAGUGCACAAUAGGCGGAAGCCUGAUGCAGCGACGCCGCGUGGGGGAUGACGGCCUUCGGGUUGUAAACUCCUUUCGACCGCGAGGAAGCCACCUGGUGGGAAGGGUGGUGACGGUAGUGGUAGAAGAAGCACCGGCUAACUACGU